AGUCACUGACAUUAGAUACCCCCGUAGUCCAGGGUGUAAACGCUGCAGACUUGGUGUUGGGAACCCUUCGGGGGUGCUCAGUGCCGGAGAGAAGUUGUUAAGUCUGCUACUUGGGAGUACGUCCGCAAGGAUGAAACUUAAAGGAAUUGGCGGGGGAGCACCGCAACGGGAGGAGCGUGCGGUUUAAUUGGAUUCAACACCGUAAAACUCACCAGGGAAGACUGUUACAUGAAGGCCGAGAUGAAGACUCUGCUAGAUUUUCAG
rnacentral:rRNA from 1 species